AGGGGAGAGAGAGGAGCCCAUUAAGAAAGCAGAAGGGAAGGAAAUGACCGCUUCAGGAAUGUCUGGGGCACUCAAUAAUUUAAAAAAUAUUUUUAGCAAGAGAAUUGGAGGGGCUGAAGUAAAGAGCACGGACCUGUGUCCACCUGAGUGUCCCCAGAGCCAGUGCAGCCCAGGGCAGCUUGGAAAGCGGCCUUAGCUGGGGACAUGGAGCUGGCAAACCUGGCGGGCUCCCGUGGGUGUGGACACACUGGGCAAGCAGAGCUCUGGUCCCCAGGCCAUUCUGAAUCCACCCAGAAGUGGCCCCACCUGUGACGUGUGGCUGUGACUGUGCCGGCCUGAAGGGCACAGUAUGUGCACAGUGCUUCUCUGAAGUCUAGAAAAUUCUGAACCAUGUUGGGCCAAGGCGGUUCAGGUAAGAGGCUGUAGGCCUGGAGUUGUGGAAUUUCAGCUCCACCUGCUGCUCCUCUGAGUGGCACAGGCAAGGCGCCCUGAUCCUGCAGCUCAGGAGGAGCAGCCUCGAUUGCCCCCAGCUCCGUGGGGCCUCGCCCACCAGCCUCAGCCUCGCAGGCCCUGUCUGAAGAGAAGAUAUUUUCUGUAUCAGUUUGAAGCCAAGACCUUGAACGCAGGGGAGCAAUAAGCAGCAAUCCCUGCAGCGUUCACAAGAUGAGAAACGCAGCCAGAUGACAGCGGAGGCUGGGGUUCAGGUACCGGUGUAGUUUCUGGGACAGGGUCAGGAUUUCUGCAGGUGUGAGAUGCAGGGUCUCCAGAGGGGUGUCAGCCCUGCAGCCGUGCAGGCCGGGGACUGGGGAGAAGGUACAAAGUGUGCACAGGCAGGCAGGACCAUCCCUGAGGGCUGUCUGGGACCCUGAGCACCAGGCGAGGGUGUCCGUGGGUAUCCGUGGGUGCCACGGGCUGUCACUCUGCUUCUCACUCCCCUUGGCUGAGACCCUGUGCUCUCACCAACCCUGCACCUAGCAGGAAUAGAGAAGCACUGCACCAGCUCACUCAGGGUCACCAGAAGGCCCGGUGGCACAUGCUUAGGAGUACAGUCCCCAGAGUCCCUUUGCUGGACUGAGUCCCAGCCCUUGUCAAGUUCCUUACUGCUGGGGUGUCCUCAGGAUCGAGGAACCAGCUCCUGUAAAGCUGACCACCCAGCUGGACCCGUGGCGAUGUCUCAGCGUGAGCUCUUGGUCCUCUGCUUGUGUGACUUGGAGUCCUUUGUCAUACCAAGUUGCCCAUCGUGUGCAGAAAUCGCCAGUUUCAGCUCAGACUAUUGUACCCUGAGCAAAAACAGCAUUUCAUUUGUGGUCUCUCUGGCCGAUCACUGCUAAUUUAAAGAUUUCACUAUUCUUAAUCACAGUAAGCCCUCAGUCCCCGAAUCUCUCAGCUAAGCAGCUCUGCAACUCCUAGUCACAGCAAAAAAUGAUUUCUGGCUCCUUUUUGUAUUCUUGACUCCAUCGCAGCAUGAUGACACCACGAUAGAGUGCGAGCCUCGCUUUACUUUGUCAGUUGAGAUAAUAAUGGCUUUGCAGGCUUCUUAAAGAUUUUGCCAGUUAAUCUUGAUCACCAGUUUGGCUGGAUUUAAAGACUCCUGGAAAGGCGAUCAGAUCAGGGGGUGCUAUCCUUGGCAGUGGAUUCAUCCCUGCCCCCCACAGCUGAGUAGGGUGUGAGGAGGGGGGAGCCAGUUGCGGGGUCGCUGGGGUGUGCCUCUGAGGAUCACAUACUCCCUGGCACUCGUCUUGUCUGCUGUGCUUCCCGGCUGCCAUGGGGAGAGCAGAGCAGCCUUGUGCUGCCAUGAACAUUCACCAAGAUGUUCAGCCUUGGAGCCAGUCCACCACUGACUACACCCUCUGAAACCAUGAGCUAAAUUAAACUUCUUUAAAUUAUAUGUGUUGGAAUUGUGGUCACAGCAGUAAAAAGCUAAUAUGCAAGUAUAAAAGCUUAUUUAUUCUCCCUGUUUCUUAUUCUCUUUUAUUAUGCUUUUUAAUUUAUUUAUACUUUGAGUUUAGGUCCUUGGUACAUGGGAAGAGAACUGAGAGAUGGAGAAAAGGAGGAGGAAGUGAAGGGAAGGGAAUGAAAAAACUCCCCAUGAUGAAUAUAAUCAUUGUGUACUACAAAUAUGUACUAAUAAAAAUAAAAAUUUUUGCUGGGUAUGGUGGCUCAUGCCUGUAAUCUCAGCACUUGGGAGGCUGAGGCCGGAGGAUCAUUGCAAGUUUGAGACCAGCCUGGACUACAAAGUGAGUUCAAGAACCUGAACUAUGUAGCAAGACCCUAUCUCAAAAAGACAAACAAAAAAAUUUUUUAAACCUUGUCUAACAAAAUGUGACUUUAUGGCAAGCAGUUGACAGUACCCUGUUUGCUGCACAAUGCAUUCCGGUGAAGAACAGGGGAAUCUCCCUGUGAAGAAGGGUAGAGAAAAAUAUUUUCCAUUUUCGAUAACAAGGAAGUCUGCCCAGUGUAGCCGAAGCUCUUCAGAAGCAGCAUCAACCCAGCUCCUGAGGACUCUGGCUGAGGGGGGGAAUUGGGUUACCAUGGUGCUCAGACUACAGACCAUGGUAACAGUUUACGAAUAUUUAAAGGCUAUAACAGAAGAUUUAAUUACCUUAAAACACCUUGCAUGAGCUUGUUUGCUAAAGAGGUGACACUCACAGUGAGAUACUUCAGAGCCCAGACCCCUAGAGACUUUUCAUUUGGGGGCUGCAGCCAGGAACGGGGCUGGAGCCCUGGUAGGGAAAACCUUUUAGGACUGUGCCGUUGAAGAAGACAUGAAGUUAUGGCAGAGGCCAGCCUCUUGGAGACCCCCACAAAACCUUUGCAAAGAAUGGCAGUCGCUGUUGAGUGGUCUUCCAAGUGGUGGGCGGCAUGCCUCAGCACUCCAGUGAGCAGAGAGCGAGCCACUCCACUUGCAGGGGAAUGGAGGAGAAGUUCAAGCUCAGUGGUGGUCACCCAGCGUGGGGACAACCAGUGGCCUCAUUUCAUUUCAUUCCUGAUGCCAUUUGCCUUUCCCGUGUGUCGCUGUUCUUGGGAACGUCCAUCCACGUGUGGGACAAGCGCCAAGCGGAGGUUCUCAGGGUGGUUAUUCCUUCUUGGCAACUGCGUUGCAAGGCCCUCUGGAUUAAUUUAGAGCUAUUAAUUAUGAUGAAGUCAUUAAGGUUAAAGUUUCCUGGAACACUUGUGGAAAUCAUUUAUCCAGAUAGCAGGUCCCCAGUUAAUGUGGAUAAUUAGAUUUUGGAGACAGACACUAAUCUGGGCCCGGUAGACAUCAUCGCAGAAGGAAAGAGACGCAUGUAGAGAAGGCUCGUGUCAGGCUUAUCAUCGAGGUACAGGCUGACUGGGAAGAGUUCACUUUGUAAUGACCUGUGAGUGCCCUCGGAGAAACGAUCCUCAAAGCACAAACAAAACAAAACAGUCCUCUGGGGUAGACAGCGUGAAGACGAAGAGAACUUUCUUCAUGCCUUAUGUAAGAAGACCCUGGUGAUUUCUUUGCAUAUUGUGGAUGGUUAAAUCCUAAACAACAGACAAAAUGUCUUUGUGUUGCCCGAAGACUAGAAAUGACAUUAAAUGGGAACAUACGAUUA